CCUUGUGAAUCAUCAAGAAAAAAAUAUCAAUAUAAAUACAAAGCUGAUAGGAUUUUAUUCUAAACGUUGCGAGUUUCUUGAUUCACUACUGUAACAGUGAGUAUAUCGUUACUAAAAUGUCAUUACUUGAAAGAAAACUUCUACAGUUGACGCUUCUAUUUGUUAUUUGGUCGGUUGUCAUGGAAACGGCAAGCGGGGCAUGUUGUCGUUCAAGGUUCGGAAAGUAUUGCUCGGAUUGCACUCGCACACAUUUUUGCUGUGGAUAUCGCAGUUGUAACAUAUUCUGUUGUGGGUGUGAGUGUCGUAAAGCACCAAAGGGGAAACGUUGUUACGUAGGUGAAAGUAGAUGCUGGUGUUACACAGCCAAAGGAAAACGUCAUGUUACAUUUGAUACUACAGAUAUUUCUGCCUAUCUUACAUAUAUUGGACUAGAUAUUAACAAAAAUGGGAUGAUGGAACAGUUUGAGUUCAAUAAAGCCUUGGAAUAUAUGCAUAUAACGGACAACAUGACCGUGCGUCAUCAUUGGUCCAUCAUGGACGGAGAUAAAGAUGGAAUUAUUUCUCUGGAAGAAUUUGAUAGAGAAAAGUAAUAUUUAACUAAGAACAUAAUUCGUUUUAUAUCUAAAAGUGAAGAUUGAAAAGGCAGAAAGUAUUCAAUUUUGAAAUUAAAUAAAA